UUCCUGUUCCUCCCUGCCCUGUUGUGGUCUUUGCUUGCUAGUAUUGCUACUUAACUUGUGGUUCUGGUUACGUACUCUCUGGCUUGUUUAUCUGACUCUGUGACUUUCUCCUACCCUUUGACCUCGGCUUGUUUCACGUUAUUCUGUCUUCUGGUUCCCUUACUCGGCUUGUUUCCUGACUAUUCUGUGUGUGCUUAGCCCGGCCACUCUAAGGUCC
rnacentral:lncRNA from 1 species